rnacentral:rRNA from 1 species
UUCCUUACGGGCCGCAGCAGUGAGGAAUAUUGGUCAAUGGGCGAGAGCCUGAACCAGCCAAGUCGCGUGAAGGAUGACGGCCCUACGGGAUGUAAAUUUCUUUUGUCAGGGAGAAAUUGGGUACACGUGUGGGCUUAGCGAGAGUACAUGAAGAAAAAGCAUCGGCUAACUCCGUGCCAGAAGCCGCGGGAAAACGGAGGAUGCGAGCGUUAUCCGGAUUUAUUGGGUUUAAAGGGUGAGGAGGCGGAAUAUCAAGUCAGCGGUAAAAAAUCGGGGGUCAACCCCGGCGUG